UUGAACGCUGGCGGCAUGCUUUACACAUGCAAGUCGAACGGUAACAGGGAGCUUGCUCCGCUGACGAGUGGCGAACGGGUGAGUAAUGCAUCGGAACGUACCCAGUCGUGGGGGAUAACGUAGCGAAAGUUACGCUAAUACCGCAUACGUCCUGAGGGAGAAAGCGGGGGACCGUAAGGCCUCGCGCGAUUGGAGCGGCCGAUGUCGGAUUAGCUAGUUGGUGGGGUAAAGGCCUACCAAGGCGACGAUCCGUAGCGGGUCUGAGAGGAUGAUCCGCCACACUGGGACUGAGACACGGCCCAGACUCCUACGGGAGGCAGCAGUGGGGAAUUUUGGACAAUGGGGGCAACCCUGAUCCAGCCAUGCCGCGUGAGUGAAGAAGGCCUUCGGGUUGUAAAGCUCUUUCAGCCGGAAAGAAAUCGUCAAGGCUAAUAUCCUUGAUGGAUGACGGUACCGGAAGAAGAAGCACCGGCUAACUACGU
rnacentral:rRNA from 1 species